rnacentral:rRNA from 1 species
UACGUAGGGUGCAAGCGUUAAUCGGAAUUACUGGGCGUAAAGCGUGCGCAGGCGGUUCGCUAAGACAGAUGUGAAAUCCCCGGGCUCAACCUGGGAACUGCAUUUGUGACUGCAUGGCUGGAGUGCGGCAGAGGGGGAUGGAAUUCCGCGUGUAGCAGUGAAAUGCGUAGAUAUGCGGAGGAACACCGAUGGCGAAGGCAAUCCCCUGGGCCUGCACUGACGCUCAUGCACGAAAGCGUGGGGAGCAAACAGG